rnacentral:rRNA from 1 species
CCCUUAGAUGUUCUGGGCUACACGCGUGUUACAAUCGGGAGUACAACAAGAUUGCAAAUCCUAGUGGAUGAGUGGUUCUUCGAAAUUUUCUGAAGACUGGGAUAGUUGAUUGAAAUUAUUCAACUCAAACGAGGAAUUCCUUGUAAUUGUAAUUCAUUAUAUUGUAAUGAAUACGUCCCUGCCCUUUGUACACACCGCCCGUCGCUCCUACCGAUUGAACGAUCCGGUGAAUUAUUUGGAGUAGCUCUGGAAGUUGCAGAACUUCCUAUGUCACGAAAUUUUGUAAACCUUAUCGUUUAGAGGAAGGAAAAGUCGUAACA